GAUGAACGCUGGCGGCGUGCCUAAUACAUGCAAGUCGAGCGAACAGACGAGGAGCUUGCUCCUCUGACGUUAGCGGCGGACGGGUGAGUAACACGUGGAUAACCUACCUAUAAGACUGGGAUAACUUCGGGAAACCGGAGCUAAUACCGGAUAAUAUAUUGAACCGCAUGGUUCAAUAGUGAAAGACGGUUUUGCUGUCACUUAUAGAUGGAUCCGCGCCGCAUUAGCUAGUUGGUAAGGUAACGGCUUACCAAGGCAACGAUGGGUAGCCGACCUGAGAGGGUGUACGGGCACAGUGGGACUGAGAGACGGCGCAGACUACUACGGGAGGCAGCAGUGGGGAAUAUGGCAGAAUAGGCGCGAGCCUGAGGCAGCGAUGUCGGGUUGGUGAAGACGUCUUACGGGUUGUAAACUACUGUCGCGAGAGACGAAGCGCAAGUGACGGUACCUAGAGAAGAAGCACCGGCUAACUACGUG
rnacentral:rRNA from 1 species